rnacentral:lncRNA from 1 species
UCUUAUUUUAAAGUGUAUAACAUACAGCAGUAUUGUAAAGUACCACAAUUUCGCUCUGAGCGAUAAGAAUAUUUAUAAUGGAAUAAAAAGAAUACUGGCAGAAAAUAAUAGUAGUAGCGGUAAUAGUAACAACGACAGUACUAAUAAUGUUGGCGGAAACAACGAAGGUAGCAAUAAGAAAAAUAAAGGAAAAGACAAAGAAGUAGAAGAAGAAGAAGAAGAAGAAGAUGAAGAAGAAGACGGUGAUGAUAGUAUGAAUUACUUAAAUUAUAUAAAAGAUAGAGGAACGGACGAGUUUGAUAAAGUAAAAUACAAUUAUAUGGAUUAUGUUAAAUUUACUAUUGUUAAAAGUGCGAACACAUAUAAACAUAUAUAUAAUGAGUUUUUAGUGUUUUUAGGAGCACAAUAUGAUACUGAUGAAGAAAUAGUACUACAUUUAAAGCUGAAUGAUAUAUUAUCAUUAUUAUUUGUUCAUUAUAAGGAUAACUUAAGCGAAUUUGAUCAUAUAAUCAACAGUUUUCAAGAUCGUAAUAAAUUAACAAAUGCGUUAGAGAAGGAGUUUUUUAGAGAGUUCCUAGAUGAACGUGAUAAUUAUAUUUUUAGCAUAAAUAAUUAUUUUAAUAAGUCACAAGAAACGGAUGAAGAAAAAGAAGAAAUUUUAAAUAAAAAAAAACAAUUAUAUAAUAUAUUUUUAAAAAACUGGAGAAACGAUGGUUAUCGUUUUUAUAGUAUUCACCAUAGAAAAAAAGCAUAUAUCCCUAAAAAAAUCGAUUUAAAUAAAUUUAAAAAAAAAGGUAUAUUAUCAAUUGAAGAACUAGAACAACAACGGCAACAGAAUAACAAAUAUAAAGAACGUAAUAUGGUAAGUGUACCAUUUAAAGGUGCUGACAGUACGAGUAUCACAGUGCAACUGAAUGGUGUAGAUGAACGUUUGACAUUAUCAGAUGAAAUUUAUAUGUUAGAAAAAGAAGAUGAAAAAGAUAAUGAAAAACAUGAAUAUGAAAGUAUAGAUAAAGGUGGUAAAAGAAAUAAAACAUGUAACAAAAAUAACAACAUAAAUGAAUUAAAAGUUUCAUCAGCAUUAAAAAAUGGAAUGAAUAAGUCAUCCUAUAAUGCUCACAACAGAUUGGAUAAUGAUAAGCAGACAACAAAUAACAGUGCUGAUGAUGACACUAGUAACAAUAAUAGUAAUAAGAAGAGCGUGUAUUACCAAAUGAGAAAAGAUUUUUUUUUAAGUGAUAAAUCACUUAACAUUAUGACUAUACUAAAUGCAAUGUCGUCAAAUAAGGACAACAAAGUAGUUACAAAAUUAUAUGAGUUUUUAAAAAUGUUAAAUAUAACAACUUUCGACCAUUUAGUUCGGUAUACCAAUAUAUUAGGUAUAUUUUUUGCAUAUGAUAUAUUUGACGAACUUUAUUUACAAAUAAAAUUGAUUAAAGAAUAUUUUGGUUUUUUUAAAAAUGAAAAUAAAAAUUACCAAUCAUUAAUAGAAGAAUCGGAAAGAAAAAAAAAAAUAAUAAUUUAUAAAGAAUAUAAAAUGAAACCAGAUGAAAUAUUUGUUCCAUAUAAUUGUUUAAAUAUAUAUUGUAAACUAAGAUCCGCUUGGUUGAAAAACAAAACAUUUAAUGUAAAAAUUAAUAGAUAUUCGAUAAAAAGUAUUAAUUUUAUGACUAUUGGUGAUAUAGGACAAGGAUUAGAAGAUGAAAAAAAUAAUUUGCAAAAUGUAUAUGCUAUGUUUGGUUUUAAUGAAUUAAAAAAGACAGUUGAUGCUAUGAAACAUUGGCAUUAUAAAAAUAAUGCAGAUUUUAUUAUAAAUUUAGGAGAUAAUAUACCAAAUGAUGAUAGUGUAUUUUCAACAGAACAUAUGCACUGGUAUAAAUUUAUAAAGGAACUUUUUGUAUUUAAAAAGAGAACUGAAGAGGAAAUUUUAGACAUGUUUGACGAUAGGGAAAUUACAGAUAAAAAAAUAAACGAAUUUUAUAAAAAUCAGUUGGAUAAGGCUCAUACUGUUGGAGAUGGUGGCAGUGGUAGUGGUAGUGAUAACAAUUUAUCCGGUUCUGAUUCCAACAUAAACAAGUUAGAUCAGCAAACUGAAGCAGUAGAAAAUAAAAAACAAAGAGAUAGCACCAAGAGCUUAUAUGAUGAUGAAAGUAAUAUCAACACAGGCAUUUAUGAAGAAGAUAGCGCUAUUCCUUUUUAUUCUAUUUAUGGAGAAAAAGAUUAUUUUUAUUUUCCAAGUGAACAAAUACAUGAACAUUAUUCUAAUAGAAUACCAGGAUAUUUUAUGCCAAAUAAUUAUUAUUGUGUUAAUUAUGAUUUUACAUUUACAGGUACAAGUGCAGGCACAAGUGCAGGCACAAGUACAGGCACAAGUACAGGUAUAAAUGAGGAUGUAGAUAAUUCAAAACAUAAUUUUCGUGCUUCAUUUAUUUUUAUUGACACUUGGGCAUUAUUAGUUGGGUUUCCUAUUAUACGUAAUUAUAGAUCCUAUCGUGAACAAUAUAAUUGGAUUAGUAAAACAUUAUAUGAGAGCGCAAAAACUAGUGACUGGAUUUUUGUUGUUGGUCACCACUCACUUUUGUCCAGUGGUAUAAGGUCAGGUGAUUAUGCAUUUGAAGAAAAUUCAUUUUAUGACGUAUUAAGAGAUUUUUUAUUUACAUAUAAUGUUGAUGCUUAUUUUAGUGCAAAUGAUCAUUUAAUGGAAUACAUUAAAUUUGGAAGUGCUAAUUUAUUUAUUAACGGUGCUUCUGCUCGUGUUUUAUUUGAUAAUUCUUAUUUGGGUCGAGGUUAUUUUGGAAAAGUUAUAGGUAAAAUGUAUCCUAUAACUUGUUACAUACUUAAAACUAUACAUGUUGGAUUAAAACCAAAAGGUUGUAAUCUUAAUAGAUAUUCGAAAUGGGCUAAUAAAGAAGAUAUAGGUUUUAGUGUACAUAAAUUAACAAAAAAUGAGUUAGUAACUGAAUUCAUAAAUAGUAGAACUGGAAAACCAAUUAGUCAUAAAAUCGUCAUAAAAAAUAAAAAAGCAGAACGCUUGAAAUAUUAUGACUUAAAUAAAUUUGUAGAUACACGUAUGACUGAUUUAGAAAAUAAAAUAAAUGAAUUUCAUUUUAAGAAUCCUGAAUUUGUUAAUUAUAAAAUUAAACAAAUAGAAGAAUAUAAUUAUAAUUUAAAAUUAGCUAUGAGUAGUUUAACAACUCCAAAAGAACGAGAUGCUUUCGAAACACUACUACAUUAUAAUAAUAUAAUUUUUGACGUUUCUUUUAAUUUAGAACCGUUAGGUUUAAAAAAAUUAAAACUUAUGCUUAAGUUAGUAAAUACAUAUAAAGAUUUUUUUCAUAAAGACUAUACUACAUAUAUAAAAGCGACAAUAGAAAAAAUAAAACAAAAGGAUACGAAUCUAACUGAUAAUCAAAAUCCAGUUGCAAAUAAUAAAGAUGAUGAUGAUUAUGAUGAUGAUGAUGAUGAUGAUAGAAAACAUAGUAAUAAUGUUAUCUCUGUUAUGGAUGACCAUAAUGAGCUGGAAGAUUCGGAAGAGUAUAUUAUUGCCAAACAAAAAUUAAAAAAUACAAUAGAAAAUGCAUUAGCUUUUGUGCAGUCAUUGAAUUUAGAACCUAUAAAAUUUUUAAAACAGUAUGAUGAGUUAACAGAAAAUGAAAAAAAAUUGCUACCAAAUAAAUUGCAAUUAGAAGAAGAUGUGUUAAACGACUAUGUGCGUGUUUUGCGUAAUUAUGUUUUUAGACAAAAAGCAGAACAAGUUGAAAAGAACAGACGUGCAGAAAUUACAAGAAAACAGAAAAAAACUCAAGAGGAGAAAAAUGUUGUCCAGAAGGAAGAAGAUACAAACGUGUCAAAGCAUAACAAACAGACUGAAAACACAAUUGUUGAAAAAAACAAAAUGGAUAAACAAAACUCAACUGAUGAAGAAGAAAAAGAAGAGAUAACAAAAGAAGAGAUAAGAGAAAAAGAAGAAGAUGAUGAAGAAGAAGAAGUAUUAGUAAAAGAAGAAGAAAAAGAUAAAGGAGAAAACGGAGAAGACGAAAAAGACGGAAAAGAUGAAAAGAAUGAUGGAAACGGUAAACAGAGUAAAACCGAAGGAGUUCGAUUUAAAAAUAAUGUAAAUAAAUUUUAUU